rnacentral:rRNA from 2 species
GGAGCUUGCUCCACCGGAAAAAGAGGAGUGGCGAACGGGUGAGUAACACGUGGGUAACCUGCCCAUCAGAAGGGGAUAACACUUGGAAACAGGUGCUAAUACCGUAUAACAAUCGAAACCGCAUGGUUUUGAUUUGAAAGGCGCUUUCGGGUGUCGCUGAUGGAUGGACCCGCGGUGCAUUAGCUAGUUGGUGAGGUAACGGCUCACCAAGGCCACGAUGCAUAGCCGACCUGAGAGGGUGAUCGGCCACAUUGGGACUGAGACACGGCCCAAACUCCUACGGGAGGCAGCAGUAGGGAAUCUUCGGCAAUGGACGAAAGUCUGACCGAGCAACGCCGCGUGAGUGAAGAAGGUUUUCGGAUCGUAAAACUCUGUUGUUAGAGAAGAACAAGGAUGAGAGUAACUGUUCAUCCCUUGACGGUAUCUAACCAGAAAGCCACGGCUAACUACGUGCCAGCAGCCGCGGUAAUACGUAGGUGGCAAGCGUUGUCCGGAUUUAUUGGGCGUAAAGCGAGCGCAGGCGGUUUCUUAAGUCUGAUGUG